ACGAUCCCAAUCCCACUCUCUCAGAUUCUCUCUUCUCACUCUCGCUCUGCUUGCGAACGGCGCACCUCCGACGGAGAUCACCGGCGCGCCACCGUGAACCUACACGAGGUCUCAUCUUCCUCGCUCGUCUCUCCUAUCUUGCAACUCGGUUGUCAGCUUAACCACAAACCUAACUCACAAUACUCUACCAAAAUUCAAAAUCAAAACUGAAUUGAAAUGGAACCUGGAGUAGUAGAACGAGGAAGAUUAGAGAAUUCCGGAGGAGCUUCCCAAUCGGAGUUGACAAAAGAUCGAAGCUUUCGAUUAUAGUUGAUACGCAAUAGGAGUUUUCAAUCAGAGUCGACGCAAAAUAAACGCGGGCACGGAGGAGAAGAUGAUGAUUCAGGCUUAAGCAAUUGGAACCAUGGAGAAAAAGAGUGGAUUCUCUCUAAUGCAUCAUACUUCCAGCCAGAAUCAUAGGACUUUUUGACUUGAAGGCUUUGAGAGAGAGUUUAGGAUUAGUUUGACUCAGUCAACUAGUUGACCAAAAGUCAUCGGUUGACCAUGAGUCCACUGUGAGUCAAGUGUAUUUUUGUGUUUGAAAAUGUAAUUCCACUAGUGUAGAGUACUCUUGAAUUUGUAAUGAUAAUUGUAAUUGGAUGAAUGUAUAGACACUUGAAUUUUCCCUCUACUGGUUAAAUUUAAAUUUCCAAAUCUUUUCACUU